rnacentral:rRNA from 16 species
AUGGAGAGUUUGAUUCUGGCUCAGGAUGAACGCUGGCAACAUGCUUAACACAUGCAAGUCGAACGGAAUUUAUUAAUUUGAUAUCUUCGGAUUGAAAGCUAAUACGUUUAGUGGCGAACGGGUGAGUAACGCGUGGGAAUUUACCUUUAGGUGAGGGACAACUUUUGGAAACGAGAGCUAAUACCUCAUAUGCUGAGAAGUAAAAGUAUAAUGAUAUAUUCAUAUACGCCGAAAGAGAAGCCCGCGUCUGAUUAGCUAGUUGGUGGGGUAAAGGCCUACCAAGGCGAUGAUCAGUAGCUGGUCUGAGAGGAUGAGCAGCCACAUUGGGGCUGAGACACGACCCAAACUCCUACGGGAGGCAGCAGUGA